AGAACGAACGCUGGCGGCAUGCCUAACACAUGCAAGUCGAACGAGACCUUCGGGUCUAGUGGCGCACGGGUGCGUAACGCGUGGGAAUCUGCCCUUCGGUUCGGAAUAACUCAGGGAAACUUGAGCUAAUACCGGAUAAUGACUUCGGUCCAAAGAUUCAUCGCCGAGGGAUGAGCCCGCGUAGGAUUAGCUUGUUGGUGAGGUAAAGGCUCACCAAGGCGACGAUCCUUAGCUGGUCUGAGAGGAUGAUCAGCCACACUGGGACUGAGACACGGCCCAGACUCCUACGGGAGGCAGCAGUGGGGAAUAUUGGACAAUGGGCGAAAGCCUGAUCCAGCAAUGCCGCGUGAGUGAUGAAGGCCUUAGGUUGUAAGCUCUUUACCCGGGAUGAUAAUGACAGUACCGGAGAAUAAGCCCGGACACUCCGCGCAGCGACGCGC
rnacentral:rRNA from 1 species